GUUAGAGAAUAACUGAGAAAUUAUCCUCAAUCAAGCACAGCUGAGAUCUUAAGAGAUCAGGUCCUCAGUGUUGUGCCUCCUUAGCAGUGGACAACAUUGUUCAAUUGAAUCCAUUGCCUGUUUUCUCUUGUUCUGGAACCUGACUCUGCGGUUUCUUGGUUUGUUACUAAAGGACUUCUGGCUUCAAAUUCAGAUCUGACAAAUCCACAGGAAUGGUGUUGAUACAGUCUUCCUAAUAAACAAUCUGAAUCGUUUUGUUAGAAGGGGUUCUUCCUUCCCUAUCAUCAUAAACAGCGCCGAUUCCACGUAUCGUAAAGGAAGGGCUAGA